rnacentral:piRNA from 1 species
UCAAUAAAUACUAGCUACUAUUGAUUUAGU